UGUAAAGUUCAAGCUCCGAUUAUGAGGGCGAAACCGCGAAUGGCUCAUUAAAUCAGUCACAAUCUACUUGAUUGUUUGAGUUUAUAUGGAUAACUGUGGUAAUUCUAGAGCUAAUACAUGUGCAACUGGGGGGACUGUUUUCGGGCAGAACCUCUGCGUUUAUUAGACUAAGACCAAUGGGGCCCGCAAGGGCCUCCUGAUGGAAGGUGACUCUGAGUAAAUAACGGGUGCAAGCCCGUGGUGCCGACCUGGCAAAUCAAAUGGUCCCUCCCGGGGGCCAGCCAGGCGAUUCAAUCGAGUGUCUGCUCUAUCAACUGUGGAUGGUAGGGUAAUUGCCUACCAUGGUGAUGACGGGUAACGGGGAGUUAGGGCUCGACUCCGGAGAACAAGCCUGAGAAACGGCUAGUAGGACUAAGGUCUGCAGCAGGCGCGAAACUUACACAAUGCUAGAUUGAUGAUGAUAGCGAUGUAGUGAAGAAAAAUAACGAUGUACUUACAUUUAAACAUGUUAGUACAAUUGGAAUGAGACGACUUUAAAGCGGUCAGUCGAGUAACAAAUGGAGGGCAAGUCUGGUGCCAGCAGCCGCGGUAAUUCCAGCUCCAUUAGCAUACAUUAAAGUUGUUGCGGUUAAAAAGCUCGUAGUUGAAUUUCGGGCGGCUUUGUAGGCGGCGCGCCCGUCAAGGUCGGCAGUGGGCUCCGGCCCCUGUCGGCUGGACGCGUCUGCCCUGUAUAGGUCGCUGUUUCGUCACUUAAUCGAGUGCGAAGCGGGGCGGUCGCGGGGUUUCCGUUCGCGGAGGUCCUCCGGACGCCAUGUUUACCUUGAGAAAAUUAGAGUGCUCACAGCAGGCAGUUGGGGUGUAAAAGCCCCUUUAUGCUUGAAUAAUGUUGCAUGGAAUAAUAGAAUACGGCCUCGGUUCUAUUCUGUUGGUCUUAUAGAACAACAAACAAGUUGGCGGGUGCGCUAACGUCGCCUGUGCCGGGGGGCCAGCGCGCGGCUAGUCGUCUGGAGCCUAAAAACUCCAGCACCUUCCGCGCCUGGCUAUCCAAACCCCGGUGCCUGGGGGCAGCACCGCCGCCAACUGAGGCAAUGGUUAAAAGAAAUAGUCGCGGCGGCAUCAGUACUGCAUCGUGAGAGGUGAAAUUCUUAGACCGAUGCAAGACUAACUGAAGCGAAAGCGUUUGCCGAGGAUAUUUUCAUUAAUCAAGAACGAAAGUUAGAGGUUCGAAGGCGAUCAGAUACCGCCCUAGUUCUAACCAUAAACGUUGCCAACUAGCAAUUGGGUUGCGAUUCCUUUAAUCGAGGCCUAAAAAACCUCGAUCAUUAUGAUCCACCCAGCGGCUCUCGUAGGGAAACCAAAGUGUUUGGGUUCCGGGGGAAGUAUGAUUGCAAAGUUGAAACUUAAAGGAAUUGACGGAAGGGCACCACCAGGAGUGGAGCCUGCGGCUUAAUUUGACUCAACACGGGGAAACUUACUAGAUUAAAACUCUGGAAUGAUUGACAGAUUGAUAGCUCUUUCUUGAUUCAGAGGAUGGUGGUGCAUGGCCGUUCUUGAUUCGUAUUCCGAAACGUCUGCUUAAUUGCGAUAACGAGUGAGACCUCACCCAACUAACUAGUCGCCUGGUGCGCUGUGGGGCGCUCAAGUCCGCGUCGGGCCCCUGCAGGCGGAAGCUUCACGGCGGARGCCUGCAACCCGGCGCGGAUGCCCUCUGCUCGCCGGCGGACUUCUUAGAGGGAUAAACGGUGUUUUAGCCGUAAGAAACGAGGCAAUAACAGGUCUGUGAUGCCCUUAGAUAUUCUAGGCCGCACGCGUGCUACAAUGGCGUGUGCAGAGAGCUUGUUCGAGGUCCGUCCGAGGGGAACUGGUUGUUUGGUUGGCGUUGGGGCAGCAAUGUCUCGGCGUUGGUCGGCAGCAAAGUGCCUCGGUUUCGGGCCGAGAGAAACCGCGGCCGAAAGGUCGCGGCAAUCAGAAAUACACGCCGUGAUUUGGGAUUGGGGAUUGCAAUUGUUGCCCAUGAACGAGGAAUUCCCAGUAAGCGCAAUUCAUCAUAUUGCGUUGAUUACGUCCCUGCCCUUUGUACACACCGCCCGUCGCUACUACCGAUUGGAAGUUUUAGUGAGGCAUCUGGACCUGCCGACCAGGAGUGGGGCAACCUGCUCAGGCUGGCGGGGAAGUUUGUCGAACUCAAAUUUCUAGAGGAAGUAAAAGUCGUAACAAGGUUUCCGU
rnacentral:rRNA from 1 species